rnacentral:rRNA from 1 species
CGCUGGCGGCGUGCCUAAUACAUGCAAGUCGAGCGAACAGAAGGGAGCUUGCUCCCGGAUGUUAGCGGCGGACGGGUGAGUAACACGUGGGUAACCUGCCUGUAAGACUGGGAUAACUCCGGGAAACCGGAGCUAAUACCGGAUAGUUCCUUGAACCGCAUGGUUCAAGGAUGAAAGACGGUUUCGGCUGUCACUUACAGAUGGACCCGCGGCGCAUUAGCUAGUUGGUGGGGUAAUGGCUCACCAAGGCGACGAUGCGUAGCCGACCUGAGAGGGUGAUCGGCCACACUGGGACUGAGACACGGCCCAGACUCCUACGGGAGGCAGCAGUAGGGAAUCUUCCGCAAUGGACGAAAGUCUGACGGAGCAACGCCGCGUGAGUGAUGAAGGUUUUCGGAUCGUAAAGCUCUGUUGUUAGGGAAGAACAAGUGCGAGAGUAACUGCUCGCACCUUGACGGUACCUAACCAGAAAGCCACGGCUAACUACGUGCCAGCAGCCGCGGUAAUACGUAGGUGGCAAGCGUUGUCCGGAAUUAUUGGGCGUAAAGGGCUCGCAGGCGGUUUCUUAAGUCUG